rnacentral:rRNA from 1 species
UACAGAGGAGCCAAGCGUUGUCCGGAUUGACUGGGCGUAAAGCGCACGCAGGCGGAUGCGCGCGUGGGGUGUGAAAUCUGGCCGCUUAACGGCCAGGCGCCAUCCCAUACGGCGCGUCUGGAGUGAUGCAGAGGUCGAUGGAAUUGCCGGUGUAGUGGUGAAAUGCGUAGAGAUCGGCAGGAACACCCAGGGGGAAACCAGUCGACUGGGCAUCUACUGACGCUGAGGUGCGAGAGCGUGGGAG